UACAGAGGGUGCGAGCGUUAAUCGGAAUUACUGGGCGUAAAGCGUGCGUAGGCGGUUACGUAAGUCGGAUGUGAAAUCCCCGGGCUCAACCUGGGAAUUGCAUUCGAGACUGCGCAGCUGGGGUGCGGAAGAGGGAAGCGGAAUUUCCGGUGUAGCGGUGAAAUGCGUAGAUAUCGGAAGGAACAUCAGUGGCGAAAGCGGCUUCCUGGUCCAGCACCGACGUUCAGGCACGAAAGCGUGGGGAGCAAACAGG
rnacentral:rRNA from 1 species